ensembl:lncRNA
AGAGAAAUGAUCAGGAGAGGAUAAAGAUUUUGGCUACAUAAACUCACCGCUCUCUGGGUUUCAAGUAUUCACUUAUUUUCAAGUGUAUUUUUUGCUUCUUGUAAAUGAAUAUAAUUAGCUUGUCAUACUGUGGAGUGUAAUUAUGUUAUUUGUUGCUAUUUAUCCUAGUCAGAUUUCCGGGCAGCAAAACACAGGACUGGGUAACCUAUUGGAGCAUACAUUUGACUUGUCCACACUUAGUUAAAACAGUAGAUAAAAUUUGAUAACUGUAUGAUCCCUAAAUGCUGCAUGUCUGUCAUGCCUUGUUUUUUGAGUGUUUGUUGAGUUUCAUUCUCUGCACGAGCAACAGCAGCAUAUCCGUGUGUGUGUGUGUGUGUGUGUGUGUGUGUGUGUGCGCGUGUGCUUAAAGGCAAAUGGCUGUCCUUUGACAUACACACAUCCCAUGGGCCAGUGAGUACUCUUAUAGGUCAGCAAUCCCUGUGAGGCUAUCUGAGAGAGAAAGAAAGAGGCAGAGGCUGUUAUAGUGAGUAAUCCUCUGUGCCGAACAAAGGCUCCAUCAGUAAGCUUCACCUUUGAUUCUUACUUAAGUUAUUGAAGUUACUUACUUCCUGAAUCUGAACCUUUUGGCUCAUUUGCUAUUUAGUUUCUCACUGCGAAUAAUUAAAGCGCCAAACCCUCCCCGAAAGACAAACAAACAAAAAAACUAGCUGCAGAAUGUACAGUUGAGGUCAUAAGUUUACACACACCUUACAGAAUCUGCAAAAUGUUAAUAAUGAAAAACAAUUUUUAAAAAAAAGAGGGAUCAUAACAAUUGCAUUUUGUUGUUUAUUUAGUUUUGCCCUGAAUAAACGAUUUCACAUAACAGAUGUCUACAUAUAGUCCACAAGACACAAUAAUAACUGCAUUAACACAAAUGAACCAGUUCAAAAGUUUACACACGCUCGAUUCUUAAUACUGUGUCGUUACCUGUGUCUAUGUUUUGUGAGAGUUGUUCGCGAGUCCCUUGUUUAUCCUGAGCAGUUAAUCUAGACACUCAUCUUCUGCAUAUUUGAUCCCUUUCCAACAGCGGCUGUAUGAUUUUGAGAUACAUCUUUUCACACCGAGGACAACUGAGGGACUCGAACACGACUAUUACAAAAGGCGCAAACAUUCACCGAUGCUCAAGAAGGUAACACGAUACAUUAAGAGCCAGGGGGGUGUAAACUUUUGAACAGGAUGGUCGGUGUAAACGUCAUUAUUUUUUCCAUUUAGUACUGCAAUUGUACUGCCCUUCAGAAGCUACAUAAGAUAUUUACAUGCUUCCCAACAAACAAAACAAUAUAUGUAACUAUAUGUAAACAUCUGUUAUGUGAAAUAGUUUAAUCAGGGCAGUACUAAUUAACAUUUUUUAUUUUUU